UUCGCUGACUAAGCCCAGCCCGUGUCUUAUCGCCCAUCUAUUCAUUUCUCUUCGUGUCUUAUUGGUGGCGGCUGAGAUUCGGGAGAGGCCGCUGCGGGAGAUCGGCGACGGCGGCGUCUACCUGUGCGGGAUUUCGGCGGCGGCGGCAUUUAGAAGAUGUUGUGUCCAGAUUGCCAUUCAUUCUGUCAGAAUGACGAUGAGCAGAACUUUGGCAUUUUCAUUCACGAUGGGUCUCGAGAUUUUGCGAACAUCCCAUGCACCGCAAGGAACCGGUUCAACCAGAUGAGUGGUCUGAAGUUUAAAGCACAUGGCCGUAGAUACGUUGUUGAUGUGUUCAUUGGACACGAACCAACAUUGAUUGGAGGUGAUGACUGGGCGAAGUUCAAACGCGACUUCAACGUGUGCCAGGGCAAAAAAAGUGGUGUUCGACAUGUCGGGAUGGGUACCCGAGGCUUAUGUGUGUUCUGUUGGAAGUAGCCAUGCAAGUGAUCAUAGGGGUGUAGCACAGGACAUGACAGGAGGUGAUGUUGCACAAAGGGGGGGGGGGGGGGGGGAAGCUAGCAAGUUUGAUGCACUUGGAGUGGAAGAAGUCAUUUAUACCAGAGAUGUUGUUCUCAGCGAUGGUGAAGCACAAAUGUUGGGACUGGUAAGAACCAUUGAAGAUGGAUACAUUGGACCACAUUUUGUGCACCGCCUCACGCCCAAGAACAUCACAAGCAAGCUUAUGAAAAUCCCAAAGAAAAUUGUUCAACCAUUGAACUUGGCUCCAGAAGGGGUUGUUGAGCUUUGCUUGGGUGUAGGAGAUGUAAUGCAGCUUGGAUAUCACACGGAUCGUGAUGGACGGAUGGUCUUCCACAAAGAUUGGGGUGUUUUUGUAGCCCAGAACCACCUCCGGGCGGAUGAUGCUGUUGUUUUCAACUUCAAGCAUAGCAAUGCACAGGGCAUCAACAUUAAAUGCGUCGUCAUCGGUUUGAGGCCGGCAGAAGGAUAAGAGUUUUGGUGCUACAAACAGUGUAAUGGCACUUUCCUAGGUUAGCCCUUUUUGGCGACUUGGGCUAUCCAGCUACCUUCACUUUUUAUGUCUUUUUGUUUUUUUGAACAAUGUAAGCACUCGGAUGAAUGUUUUUAGUCUUUUUC